AUUGAACGCUGGCGGCAGGCCUAAAACAUGAAAGUCGAACGAGUGGCGGACGGGUGAGUAAUGUCUGGGAAACUGCCCGAUGGAGGGGGAUAAAUACGGGAAACGGUAGCUAAUACCGCAUACCAUCGGAUGUGCCCAGAUGGGAUGAGCUAGUAGGUGGGGUAACGGCUCACUUAGGCGACGAUCCCUAGCUGGUCUGAGAGGAUGACCAGCCACAUUGGAUCUACGACACGGUCCAGACGCCUACGGGAGGCAGCAGUGGGGACUAUUGCACAAUGGGCGCAAGCCUGAUGCAGCACUGCCGCGUGUAUGAAGAUGGCCUUCGGGUUGUAAAGUACUUUCAGCGAGGAGGCGUUACUCGCAGAAGAAGCACCGGCUAACUCCGUGCCAGCAGCCGCGGUAAUUC
rnacentral:rRNA from 1 species